rnacentral:rRNA from 1 species
GACGAACGCUGGCGGCGUGCUUAACACAUGCAAGUCGAACGGAAAGGCCCCUUUGGGGGUACUCGAGUGGCGCACGGGUGAGUAACACGUGAGUAACCUUCCCUUGACUUCGGGAUAACUUCAGGAAACUGGGGCUAAUACCGGAUAGGAAUCCUUGCUGCAUGGUGGGGGUUGGAAAGCUUCGGCGGUUUUGGAUGGACUCGCGGCUUAUCAGCUUGUUGGUGGGGUAGUGGCUUACCAAGGCUUUGACGGGUAGCCGGCCUGAGAGGGCGACCGGCCACAUUGGGACUGAGAUACGGCCCAGACUCCUACGGGAGGCAGCAGUGGGGAAUAUUGCACAAGGGGCGGAAGCCUGAUGCAGCAACGCCGCGGGCGGGAUGACGGCCUUCGGGUUGUAAACCGCUUUCAGCAGGGGCGAAGCUUGUGGUGACGGUACCUGCAGAAGAAGCACCGGCUAACUACGUG